rnacentral:rRNA from 1 species
AACGAACGCUGGCGGCAGGCUUAAUACAUGCAAGUCGAACGUGAAAGUCCUUGGGGAUGAGUAAAGUGGCGCACGGGUGAGUAACACGUGGGAACGUACCCUUGGGUGCGGGAUAACUACGGGAAACUGUAGCUAAUACCGCAUAAUGUCUUCGGACCAAAGAUUUAUCGCCUCAAAGGAUCGGCCCGCGUUGGAUUAGCUUGUUGGUGGGGUAAUGGCCUACCAAGGCGACGAUCCAUAGCUGGUCUGAGAGGAUGAGCGGCCACACGGGAACUAAGACACGGUCGAGACCACUACGGGAGGCAGCUGUAGGGAAUUUUGGGCAAUGGGCGCAAGCUUGACCCGGCCAUGCCGCGUGAAUGAUGAAGGCCUUAGGUUUAUAAAUUUCUUUCGCCGAUGAAGAUAAUGACGGUAGUCGGAUAAGAAGCCCCGGCUAACUUCGUGCCAGCCGCCGCCGUAA